AUUGGGCCUUCACUAAAACCAAC
rnacentral:siRNA from 1 species